rnacentral:rRNA from 1 species
GCCACGGGGGGGGGCUUUCGUUGGCCUGUUUUGGAAGGGCAUGAUUCAGACCAACCCGGGGAAUGAAGAACCCGGCCCCGGAAAUCCUUAAGGGGAGGGCAGCCAGUGGGGAAAUUUUGGACAAUUGGGGGAAACCCCUGAUCCCAGUCCUUGCCGGGGGGGGUGAAAGAAGGCCUUUUUGGUUGUAAAGCCACUUAAGGCAGUGAAGAAGACUUCUUCGGUUUAAUACCCGGAGGACGAUGACAUUAGCUGCAGAAUAAGCCACCGGCUAACUCUGUGCCAGCCGCCGCGGUAAUACAGAGGGUGCAAGCGUUAAUCGGAAUUACUGGGCGUAAAGCGAGCGUAGGUGGCUUGAUAAGUCAGAUGUGAAAUCCCCGGGCUUAACCUGGGAACUGCAUCUGAAACUGUUAGGCUAGAGUAGGUGAGAGGGAAGUAGAAUUUCAGGUGUAGCGGUGAAAUGCGUAGAGAUCUGAAGGAAUACCGAUGGCGAAGGCAGCUUCCUGGCAUCAUACUGACACUGAGGCUCGAAAGCGUGGGUAGCAAACAGGAUUAGAUACCCUGGUAGUCCACGCCGUAAACGAUGUCUACUAGUCGUUGGGUCCCUUGAGGACUUAGUGACGCAGCUAACGCAAUAAGUAGACCGCCUGGGGAGUACGGCCGCAAGGUUAAAACUCAAAUGAAUUGACGGGGGCCCGCACAAGCGGUGGAGCAUGUGGUUUAAUUCGAUGCAACGCGAAGAACCUUACCUGGUCUUGACAUAUCUAGAAUCCUGCAGAGAUGCGGGAGUGCCUUCGGGAAUUAGAAUACAGGUGCUGCAUGGCUGUCGUCAGCUCGUGUCGUGAGAUGUUGGGUUAAGUCCCGCAACGAGCGCAACCCUUGUCCUUAGUUACCAGCGGGUUAAGCCGGGAACUCUAAGGAUACUGCCAGUGACAAACUGGAGGAAGGCGGGGACGACGUCAAGUCAUCAUGGCCCUUACGACCAGGGCUACACACGUGCUACAAUGGUAGGUACAGAGGGCAGCUACACAGCGAUGUGAUGCGAAUCUCAAAAAGCCUAUCGUAGUCCAGAUUGGAGUCUGCAACUCGACUCCAUGAAGUAGGAAUCGCUAGUAAUCGCGGAUCAGAAUGCCGCGGUGAAUACGUUCCCGGGCCUUGUACACACCGCCCGUCACACCAUGGGAGUUGAUUGCACCAGAAGUGGAUAGCUUAACCUUCGGGGAGGCGUUCACCACGGUGUGGUU